rnacentral:rRNA from 1 species
GACGAACGCUGGCGGCGUGCCUAACACAUGCAAGUCGAGCGGAGUCGAUCGACGGAAGCCUUCGGGCGGAAGAUGGUUGACUUAGCGGCGGAUGGGUGAGUAACGCGUGGGCAACCUGCCUCGAAGACCGGGAUAACAGCCCGAAAGGGCUGCUAAUACCGGAUGUGGUCAAGGAUCCGCAUGGAUUUUUGAUUAAAGGGGAAACCCGUUUCGAGAUGGGCCCGCGUCCUAUCAGCUGGUUGGUGAGGUAAAAGCUCACCAAGGCGACGACGGGUAGCCGGCCUGAGAGGGUGACCGGCCACACUGGAACUGAGACACGGUCCAGACUCCUACGGGGGGCAGCAGUGGGGAAUCUUCCACAAUGGGCGAAAGCCUGAUGGAGCGACGCCGCGUGAGCGAAGAAGGCCUUCGGUUGUAAGCUCUGUCUGGAGGGACGAAGGAAGUGACGGUACCUCCGGAGGAAGCCACGGCUAACUACGUG